AUUAAAAGCCCAAAGUUUAACUUUGGAAAAGAUUUAGAACUAAUGUGACUGGAGUGCCACAGAGGAUAGUGGAAUUUUUAGAGGAGUGAUGAAAUAUCAAGAUACUAAAAGGAACACCACAAGCGAAGGCAACUAUCUGGGGGGACACUGACGCUGAAACACGAAAGUAUGGGGAGCAAACAGGAUUAGAGACCCUGGUAGUCCAUAGCUGUCAACCAUGAGUGUUUAAAAUUGGAGAAAUUUCAGUUUUUCAGCUAACGCAUGAAACACUCCGCCUGGGGAGUACGAUCGCAAGGUUGAAACUCAAAGGAAUUGACGGGGAUUCGCACAAGCGGUGGAGCAUGUGGUUUAAUUCGAUACAACGCGCAAAACCUUACCAGCCCUUGUAUUGUGAGGACAUAAGAAAAUCCAGAAAUGGGUCUUUGAAGUGAAAUGGAAGAAUCUUUCUCUGAAUUUUUCUUCUCUUUCAUUUAACUUCAUACAGGUGUUGCAUGGCUGUCGUCAGCUCGUGUUGUGAAAUGUUUGGUUAAUUCCAGUAACGAGCGCAACCCUUCUCUUUAGUUAAAAGGUAAUUGCUGCAACUUUAAAGAAACCGCUGAUCGAAAGAUUAGAGGGAGGGGAGGAUGACGUCAAGUCNUCAUGGCCCUUAUGGGCUGGGCUACACACGUGCUACAAUGGCGCGUACAGAGGGAAGCCAAGCCGCGAGGUGGAGCAGACCCCAGAAAGCGCGUCGUAGUUCGGAUUGCAGUCUGCAACUCGACUGCAUGAAGC
rnacentral:rRNA from 1 species